UGUUGUUGAGCUUUAUUCCGGUGUCAGGUCAUACAUGAACCUGUUCUGAAGAGUUUUUCUCCAUGAUUAUUCCCCAGCAUUGUCAGGUCAUACAUGAACCUGUUGUGGAAAUUUUCGUAUUCGGGCUUAGUAAGUCAAAUUGUGAACUUACUCUCUUGUACUCUAAGUACUACUUAUCAAAUUCCACUCAGAUUACUCCCUAGAGUGUGUUUGACUCUCCAGCAGGAC
rnacentral:lncRNA from 1 species